AGGAGAGCCAUUCAACAAAUCAUA
rnacentral:siRNA from 1 species